rnacentral:rRNA from 1 species
AGUGAACGCUGGCGGUAGGCCUAACACAUGCAAGUCGAACGGCAGCACAGUAAGAGCUUGCUCUUACGGGUGGCGAGUGGCGGACGGGUGAGGAAUACAUCGGAAUCUACUUUUUCGUGGGGGAUAACGUAGGGAAACUUACGCUAAUACCGCAUACGACCUACGGGUGAAAGCAGGGGAUCUUCGGACCUUGCGCGAUUGAAUGAGCCGAUGUCGGAUUAGCUAGUUGGCGGGGUAAAGGCCCACCAAGGCGACGAUCCGUAGCUGGUCUGAGAGGAUGACCAGCCACACUGGAACUGAGACACGGUCCAGACUCCUACGAGAGGCAGCAGUGGGGAAUAUUGGACAAUGGGCGCAAGCCUGAUCCAGCCAUACCGCGUGGGUGAAGAAGGCCUUCGGGUUGUAAAGCCCUUUUGUUGGGAAAGAAAAGCAGCAGGUUAAUACCCCGCUGUUCUGACGGUACCCAAAGAAUAAGCACCGGCUAACUUCGUG